GACAGAGGGUGCAAACGUUGUUCGGAAUUACUGGGCGUAAAGCGCGUGUAGGCGGCCCUGCAAGUCGGAUGUGAAAUCCCACGGCUCAACCGUGGAAGUGCAUUCGAAACUGCAGGGCUAGAGUCCUGGAGAGGAAGGUGGAAUGCUUGGUGUAGAGGUGAAAUUCGUAGAUAUCAAGCGGAACACCGGUGGCGAAGGCGGCCUUCUGGACAGUGACUGACGCUGAGACGCGAAAGCGUGAGUAGCGAACGGG
rnacentral:rRNA from 1 species